CCUACGGGCGGCAGCAGUGGGGAAUAUUGCACAAUGGGGGAAACCCUGAUGCAGCGACGCCGCGUGAGUGAAGAAGGAAUUAGGUAUGUAAAGCUCUAUCAGCAGGGAAGAAAAGGACGGUACCUGAGUAAGAAGCCACGGAUAACGACGUGCCAGCAGCCGCGGUAAUACGGAGGGGGCAAGCGUUGUCCGGAUUUACUGGGUGUAAAGGGCGUGCAGCCGGGAAGACAAGUCAGAUGUGAAAUCCCGCGGCUCAACCGCGGAACUGCAUGUGAAACGGUUUUUCUUGAGUACCGGAGAGGUCAUCGGCAUUCCUUGUGUAGCGGUGCACUGCGUAGAUCUCAGGC
rnacentral:rRNA from 1 species